CAGUAGCUGGUCUGAGAGGACGAUCAGCCACACUGGAACUGAGACACGGUCCAGACUCCUACGGGAGGCAGCAGUGGGGAAUUUUGGACAAUGGGGGCAACCCUGAUCCAGCCAUUCCGCGUGAGUGAAGAAGGCCUUCGGGUUGUAAAGCUCUUUUGCAAGAGAAGAAAACUUGCUAUCUAAUAAAUAGUAAGUAUGACGGUAUCUUGACAAGAAGCACCGGCUAACUACGUGCCAGCAGCCGCGGUAAUACGUAGGGUGCAAGCGUUAAUCGGAAUUACUGGGCGUAAAGCGUGCGCAGGCAGUUUUAUAAGUCAGAUGUGAAAUCCCCGAGCUCAACUUGGGAACUGCGUUUGAAACUAUAAGACUAGAGUGUGUCAGAGGGGGGUAGAAUUCCAAGUGUAGCAGUGAAAUGCGUAGAGAUUUGGAGGAAUACCAAUGGCGAAGGCAGCCCCCUGGGAUAACACUGACGCUCAUGCACGAAAGCGUGGGGAGCAAACAGGAUUAGAUACCCUGGUAGUCCACGCCCUAAACGAUGUCUACUAGUUGUUGGUGGAGUAAAAUCCAUGAGUAACGCAGCUAACGCGUGAAGUAGACCGCCUGGGGAGUACGGUCGCAAGAUUAAAACUCAAAUGAAUUGACGGGGGCCCGCACAAGCGGUGGAUUAUGUGGAUUAAUUCGAUGCAACGCGAAAAACCUUACCUGGCCUUGACAUGUACCGAAUUUA
rnacentral:rRNA from 1 species